UAAGAAAAUAGAGUGCGAACGGAGGUAGCUUAGUAAAACUGAGUAGAAAAGAGGUGUAGUUAAUGAGCUGAUUAGUGUUUUAAUGAUUUAAGCAAAGAGGUGUGAAUAGCAAGGUGGUGUAGUUACAGAAAGAAUAGUAAUAGUAAUCUGAAAAGAUUAGUAACAAAGAGUCUGAAAAGAUUUGUAACAAACUCAAUUAGAGCUUAUAGAGAAACAAGACGGCAAAAGGAAAACUAGGGUUGUGGAGAGAAAAAACAAGAUGACAUAGAAAGAAGAACCUGGAGAGAGACUUCACUGUAUGAAUUCAUCAAAUUCUCCAAACUAGAGGGGACCCUUCUCAAAUAGAUGAAGAUUUAAGUUCUUCUUUGGUUGUCACAGGGGAGCUUGAGAAUCUAGUCUCCAAGAAGUAUUUAGCUAUUGAUAACUUGUACUUGUUGACGGAUUUCCUUGUUAAUCAUCCUUCAAUUCUUCUAAGGAACAGUUCACCGAGUAACAGAUAUAAGGGUUAUGCCUACAACUGUCUAGCUGAUCUAUUGAAAUUCCUCCAAACGCAUUGUGUGUUGGAUGUGUUAGGUUCAAGCCACUCUGAAUUUGUUGAGUUAUUAGAAGAAGUGUGGAAAUGUGGUUUCAAUAUUGGUUGGACAGUGUCGAAAAGCGUGCUUUAUUUCCUGAUUUACAAUUCUCUCAAAAUGCAUUGCAAAAGCUGUUGAAUUCCCAACAGCGUGUAACCAAGGAAGUUGAAGAGAUGCGUUUAAAGAUUAACAUUUUUAAUCAACAUGAGGAAGAUCUUAAGCAUCAAUUGCAAGUCUCCGAGGCUGUUUUGGAGAGUCUCAUUCAACAGAAAGCAAGUUUUAGAAACUAAGGCUGCUUUAAGUGCCCCUCUUGGCUAUUAGACUUUCUUUUGUCAUCAAUUGGUAGUUACUAGUUUCUGCUUUUCUCAUUUGAAAUGAACUAUUAUGUUUGUGUACUUUAAAUUUGUUAUUGAUUACUGUAUUAAACAAAGGAAACGCCAUAUUAAGAAUAUUGUAAUUGGAAUGACAUGCUGAAUGUGCCCCUCUUGGCUAUUAGAGUAUCUUUUGUUGUUGGA